rnacentral:rRNA from 1 species
UACAGAGGGGGCAAGCGUUGUUCGGAAUUACUGGGCGUAAAGGGCGCGUAGGCGGCCAACUAAGUCGGACGUGAAAUCCCCGGGCUCAACCCGGGAACUGCGUCCGAUACUGGAUGGCUUGAAUCCGGGAGAGGGAUGUGGAAUUCCAGGUGUAGCGGUGAAAUGCGUAGAUAUCUGGAGGAAUACCGGUGGCGAAGGCGGCAUCCUGGACCGACAUUGACGCUGAGGAGCGAAAGCUAGGGGAGCAAACGGG